GUGCAAUGGGGGCCUGUGAAUCGUGUCAGGACUGAGAGGUAGCAGCACUAAGCGGUAACCUUCAUGUGCCAC
rnacentral:SRP_RNA from 1 species